GCUCACUUUGGUGGCACACGUGCUAAAAUUGGAAUGACAGAGAAGAUUAACAUGGCCCCUAUGCAAGGAUGACACACAAAUUUGUGAAGUAUUCUAUAUUUUU